rnacentral:rRNA from 1 species
UACAGAGAGUGCAAGCGUUAAUCGGAAUUACUGGGCGUAAAGCGCACGUAGGUGGAUACUUAAGUCGGAUGUGAAAUCCCCGGGCUCAACCUGGGAAUUGCACCCGAUACUGGGUAUCUAGAGUAUGAUAGAGGGGAGUGGAAUUUCCGGUGUAGCGGUGAAAUGCGUAGAUAUCGGAAAGAACACCAGUGGCGAAGGCGGCUUCCUGGAUCAAUACUGACACUGAGGUGCGAAAGCGUGGGGAGCAAACAGG